rnacentral:rRNA from 1 species
UACGUAGGUCCCGAGCGUUGUCCGGAUUUAUUGGGCGUAAAGCGAGCGCAGGUGGUUUAUUAAGUCUGGUGUAAAAGGCAGUGGCUCAACCAUUGUAUCCAUUGGAAACUGGUAGACUUGAGUGCAGGAGAGGAGAGUGGAAUUCCAUGUGUAGCGGUGAAAUGCGUAGAUAUAUGGAGGAACACCGGUGGCGAAAGCGGCUCUCUGGCCUGUAACUGACACUGAGGCUCGAAAGCGUGGGGAGCAAACAGG